rnacentral:rRNA from 1 species
CCUACGGGAGGCAGCAGUGAGGAAUAUUGGUCAAUGGGCUUACGCCUGAACCAGCCAAGUCGCGUGAGGGAAGACUGCCCUAUGGGUUGUAAACCUCUUUUGUCAGGGAGCAAUUGGCGCUACGUGUAGCGUUAUCGAGAGUACCUGAAGAAAAAGCAUCGGCUAACGCCGUGCCAGCAGCCGCGGUAAUACGGAGGAUGCGAGCGUUAUCCGGAUUUAUUGGGGUUAAAGGGUGCGUAGGUGGAAUGCCAAGUCAGCGGUAAAAUCGCGGGGCUCAACCUCGCUCCGCCGUUGAAACUGGCGGUCUUGAGUGGGCGAGAAGUAUGCGGAAUGCGUGGUGUAGCGGUGAAAUGCAUAGAUAUCACGCAGAACUCCGAUUGCGAAGGCAGCAUACCGGCGCCCAACUGACGCUGAAGCACGAAAGCGUGGGUAUCGAACAGGAUUAGAUACCCUAGUAGUC